AUUAUUCCUAUUCAGGAUACUUCAUGGAGGCUUGGAGAUCCCUUAUUCAGCCCAAGAUAAAGUCAGUUUGGGACUUCCCUUAAAGGCACCUUCUCAAGGGAAAUGGGUAAACUUGGGGCUUCCAGAAUUCACAAUGACAGAAGCAACCGAGUUGUUUAUUGUCCUCGAACCAGGGGCUUUUGUCCACUUUCCCAGGCUUGUCCCUGAAUCUUCUAGAUAAGGUAACAAACUAGCUUUUCACAUCCUCCUCUCAAUCCAUCUGGGGGCCUCAGCCCCAAGAAUGUGGAGGGGGGGUGCAAGCUGAAUGCGCACUCUGAGAAUAGCACACUCAGCUCCAUCUCAUACGUAAUUGGGAAAAAAGAAAACUUUCUGUUUUUCAAAAAUAUAUAGAAUAGAAGUAUUGCUGUUGUUGGGAAAGUGCCUCAGAACCAUCUCUUCCAUCUAGCCGCUUGCCAAAUUCUAGCCCAGAAUUUUCAAUUUUACCCCCACGUGCCAAGAAUAGCCUCCUCAGUUAACCAUUAUUUAAUAUUGAACUAGAAAAAAAAUUGAAGGGAUCAAAUCAAAAUAGGCAAUGAAGAAACUAAGCUCUCGCUCUUUGCAGAUGCUGUGAUGGUCUACCUAGAGAAUCCAAGAGAAACAACCAAAAAGCUACUGGAAACAAUCAACAAAGUGAGCAAAGUUGCAGGAUUCAGAACAAACCCACGAAUGAUGAACUGGAGGGAUUCCAUGUGAACUGGGACGACCUCCAGGAACUGAUGCAGAGUGAGAGGAGCAACACCAGGAGAACCUUGUACACGGAGAGGGAUACAUGGUGGAAUGAUCAAAUGUGAUAGACUUCUCUACUAGUAACAAUGUAAGAUCCAGACCAAUCCUCAGGCACUAAUGAGAAAGAUACUCUUCACAUCCAGAGAAAGAACCGCAGAGGAAAGCAUGUGAUUUAUCACUGGUUUAUAUGGGUUUAGGAUUAGAGACCUUGGUUGUAAAGCAUUGCUCCUUUACAGACAUGAAUAACAUGGGAAUGGGUUUGAGUGAUACUAAGUAUAUGUUUCUCUGUCUAACCCAGUAGAAGGAGGGGGAGGGGGGAGGGGAGGGAGAGAAAGCGAGCUCUGAGCUCUUGGAGGCUUCUGUCUGCCCCUGGGACAUAACAACGCUGGGGAAUGAAAUGGGAUCAUCAGGGUUCUGAAGAAUGAAGCUAAGCUUUUCU
rnacentral:lncRNA from 1 species